rnacentral:misc_RNA from 1 species
CACGGUGGACACAGUGUGUGUCUACUGUUCAGUGCAAACCCAUGGCUUCAGUCUCUCCUUCACUGCUACCACUUCUUUUCUUUGCCAGACUCUCAGGCUUCCAUUGUGGCAGCUCUCGUCAUCUCUUGGGCUUUUCAUUUCAAGUCCAGUUUUCUCCCUCACUCUUCCUCUCAUGAAGACUUUAUCUAUGCUGUAUCUACUGCUCUUGUUUUUCUCUUCAUUUUUUAUCACAUUUCUUGAUACCCAGAGAACUCUGCAAGUCUUCAACCCCAGUUCUUGAUGUUUUUGUUUUUCUUGCUUGAUUUUAAAGGUUCUACAUCCCUUGCUAAUGGUGAUUGGUUUAAUUCUCAUUAGUGGAAAAGCCAUUUUGGUGCACAGAUGGUUGCCUGGCUCUAGGAAUUUGAAGAAAUCAGUGCAUUUGUGUCUUCAAGGAGUGGCUAUGGGUUCUGGGAUUUUUGGUAUUUGGACAAAAUUUCAAGGCCGAGAUGGAAUUGUUGCUAAUUUCUACAGUUUGCACUCUUGGAUGGGUUUAAUAUGCAUUUGCUUGUUUGGAGCUCAGGUUUGUUCCUCAUUCCUUCAUUAUUAUUAUUUUUUUUCAAUUCAAUUCUCAUAGUCAUUUCCAUUUCUUUUUGGCCUUGCUUUCCAGUGUGCAAAUUCACAAGCUUUUGUCUUUCUUUACGAUUUAAUUAUCGGCAUUAGGCAACAUCAUUAAGAGAUGUUGCCACUGUCACUGUGGAUCCAUUCAUUAAUUUUCACUAGUAACGAUUAAUAAGUAACAGAGCUUCACUGUGCUUUCAAUUAUUUUAUCUUCACUCAACUGUGCUUUUUGAAGCAGGAAGCAUGUAGUGGGUUCAUUGUCUGCUUCUUUCAGGGCCAAGACUAUGACUCCUCUAUUAAGCCAUGGUCCAGAAUGAAGCUGAUUCAAAUAUCAAAUCUUAAAUUGCAAAUUCUUCAACAAAUCACAAUUAUUGAAACCAUAUCAAAAUAAAAGUUAGUGAUUAUUAGAAAAAUUUAAUCAAAUAGUAGUUGGGAUUAAUUUUGUUGAUUUUGAAUGGCAGUGGUUGAUGGGUUUCAAGAGCUUUUGGAACAGAAUGGAGAUGCGAGCGGUGAGGGUGAAAGUAUUGCCAUGGCACGUAUUUCUUGGACCCUACGCAUAUGGGUUGGCAGUGGCAACAGCGGAAACAGGGCUAUUAGAAAAGUUGACAUUCUUGCAAACAAAUAGAAAUGUAUCAAAACGAUCACCAGAAUCCAUGGUUGUUAAUAGCUUAGGACUUAGCUUGGCUUUGCUUAGUGGGAUGGUUAUAUUUGCUGCAGUUUCCCCCAAGAGCCAUAACCUUCAAAGUAAAUUACUUUACACAGAAUCAUCAAGUAAACCAGAAUGAUCAAGAUUCUUCCAUGAUUAUAUUUAGUGUUGGUUUAAUUGAGUGGUUUGGAGCUAUACAAUUUUUAUUUUAAUUGUACUUUACCUCUUAGUGGGCUGACCUCUCGUGAUCAAAUUACUCUUGUACUAACUCUCCGGGAGCAAAUUAAUCAUAAUUCAGUGAGCUGAGAUAUCUGUGUAAUACUAAAAUAGGAAUGACAAAAAUUACUGAACUCGAUUUGUUCCGCUCUGAUCUCAAUUUGUGUGAGGCAGGAACGAGAUGACUUUCUUCCGUUGGCA